GGCAGUGGGUAAUUUAUCCCAUAGAAAUUUCUAGAACUUGAUGGUCUAAAUAACCAAAUAUAUAGAGUAAUAUCCAUUUUGGACAGAUGGCUUUCAGGGCCAGCCUUUUUCCAUUUGAGCAAGUGUCUUUUAUAUGAAGCCUGAUGUAUAUUAAGGUCAGCCCUGCGUAGAUUGUGGCUUGAAUGAUCGUGAGUAGUAGUGACACACUAUAGCUCAAAAAAUGAUAAAUGGGUUUUAAAGAUCUAGCUAUCCACAAGUUAAUAGAAUUUUACCUACCCUUUGACCUUCGACUCGUAUAUCAUCAGAUUAUCUGAAGGAUAUAGGAAGAGACACCUCUUCCAAAAAUAGGCAUAACUACAGACCAUUUCCCUGUAGGGUGCUGGUUUCCCAGUACAAUACCUUUCUUUAAUUUCCAGAUUUCAUAGAACAUAUGAGUCUUUCACUACAGUGUUUUUAAUUGGUAUAUUUAUGAGGGCAAAAUCUAUGUAUUUUUUCAAAACAUAACAUAGCAUUUAAAAUAAAAUGAUGUUGCAAGGAAAGUCCUGAAUGACAUUCCAGAUACAGUGGGUAGAUCAUCAGAGUCCAGUGUAGAUGAUUUGAAAAGCUCACCAGGUUGCGGCCGAGGGGGCCUGGCUUCUGGAUUGUGCCGGCAGCGCGAGAGGCCACUGUGCUUCACUGUGCAGUUGCUGUUAACCAUGUUUGUUUUCACUUGUUAAAUCCGGAAGUAGUGUUGAACACAUAUUAUAGACUGGUACAGUGGUUAUUAUAUUUAUGGGCAUUUUACCUUGUUUUAGUUUCAUUUUAAGAAAGUCUUUGGCAGUUUUGAGUUGAUGUGUAGCAUUUUAAUUUCUCUCACUUAAAAUAAUGGGAAAUAUGCUUUAUUUUUUGUGUAUGAUGUUAGGUUUCAGGAACAGAUUACUGCUGUUAGCUGGGAGGUGCCUGUGUUCCUAUUGUGAUGGAUCUUGAAAUGUAUUGGGUGUGUGUUUCCUGUGGCCACUUUUUUUUUUUUUUUUUUUAAGUUUUUACUUAAAUUCUAGGUAACAUACAGUGUAAUGUUAGUUUUAGGUGAACAAUUUAAUGAUGCAGUGCUUCCAUGCAACACCAGGUGCUCGUCAGGGCAGGUGCCUUCCUUGAUCCCAAUCGCCUGUUAUCUCUAUCCCCUUCCCUCC